GGCAAUUAAACCUAAAACCCAGCAAAGAUUAUCACCUUUUACCUGAUAGCAAAAGGGUCCACCAGACGGAGUUGGAUUGCGCUGAAUUUGACAAAGACACAAUUAAGGUCAUUGUCAGAGGCGAAUUGAUAUUAGUUCAAGGUACCAAAAAAAAUCAACGAGACGAAACCACCUUGACGUAUGACAUUCCAGAUCAGUGUGAUUUGGCAAGAAUCGA